GUGGGGAAUCUUCCGCAAUAGACGAAAGUCUGACGGAGCGACGCCGCGUGAGUGAAGAAGGCCUUCGGGUCGUAAAGCUCUGUCAUCAGGGACGAACGGCCGGUGGAGUGGAAAGCCACCGGAUUGACGGUACCUGAGAAGGAAGCCACGGCUAACUACGUGCCAGCAGCCGCGGUAAUACGUAGGUGGCAAGCGUUGUCCGGAAUUAUUGGGCGUAAAGCGCGCGCAGGUGGGAUCUUAAGUCCAUUUUUAAAGUUCGGAGCUCAACUCCGUGAUGGGAUGGAAACUGGGAUUCUUGAGUACCGGAGAGGAGAGCGGAAUUCCCCGUGUAGCGGUGAAAUGCGUAGAUAUGGGGAGGAACACCAGUGGCGAAGGCGGCUUUCUGGACGGUGUCUGACACUGAGGCGCGAAAGCCAGGGGAGCGAACGGGAUUAGAUACCCCUGUAGUCC
rnacentral:rRNA from 1 species